rnacentral:rRNA from 1 species
AGUAGUUUGACUCCGUGGCUCGAGGACGAACGCUGGCGGCGUGCUUAACACAUGCAAGUCGAACGGGGAUUAUGAAGCUUGCUUUAUAAUCCUAGUGGCAAACGGGUGAGUAACGCGUAGACAACCUACCCUCAAGAUGGGGACAACAGGGCGAAAGCUCUGCUAAUACCGAAUGAUGUAAGUUUCUCGCAUGGGAGAUUUAUUGAAGGUAGCUGAGACAAGCGAUGCUAUCGCUUGAGGAUGGGUCUGCGUCUGAUUAGCUAGUUGGUGAGGUAACGGCUCACCAAGGCGACGAUCAGUAGCCGGUCUGAGAGGAUGAACGGCCACAUUGGGACUGAGACACGGCCCAGACUCC